rnacentral:rRNA from 1 species
CCGGAGACUACUACUAUCAGGAUUCGGCUUAGCCAUGCGAGGUACUUGUAGCGAUACAAACCGUACUGCUCAGUAACACGUAGUCAACCUGCCCUACAGACGGGGAUAAUCCUGGGAAACUGGGCGUAAUACCCGAUAGGCGAUUAUUGCUGGAAGGCUUUUUCGCUUAAAGCAGCAAUGUGCUGUAGGAUGGGACUGCGACGGAUUAGCUUGUUGUUGAGGUAAAGACUGAAAUCGAAAGAUUUCUUUCGCCUAUUUGCUCAACAAGGCUGUAAUCCGUACGGGUCGUGAGAGCGAUUGCCCGGAGAUGGCUUCUGAGACAUGAAGCCAGGCCCUACGGGGCGCAGCAGGCGCGAAAACUUCGCAAUGCCUGAAAGGGUGACGAGGGAAUCCUGAGUGAUAUCGCAAUGCGGUAUCUUUUGUUUACUGUAAAUAGGUAGACGAAUAAGGGGUGGGUAAGACGGUUGCCAGCCGCCGCGGUAAUAAUAACCGCGCCCCAAGUUGUAGUCACGUUUAUUGGGCCUAAAGCGUCCGUAGCUGGUUUGAUAAGUCUUUGGUGAAAUCCAACAGCAAACUGUUGGAAUGGCUGGAGAUACUAUCAGACUCGAGACCGGGAGAGGUCAGGGGUAUUUCACGGGUAAGAGUAAAAUCUUUUAAUCCGUGAAGGACCACCUGUGGCGAAGGCGCCUGACUGGAACGGGUCUGACAGUGAGGGACGAAAGCGUGGGGAGCAACCGGGAUUAGAUACCCCGUUAGUCCACGCUGUAAACGAUGCCCAUUUGGUGUCACACAAUCUUCGAGAUUCUGUGGUGCCGUAGCGAAGGUGUUAAAUGGGCCGCCUGGGGAGUACGACCGCAAGGUUGAAACUUAAGGGAAUUGGCGGGGGAGCACUACCAGGGGUGGAGGCUGGCGGUUUAAUUGGAUUCAACGCCAGGACCUUACCCAUGAAGCAGCAGAAUGAGGGUCACUCUAAAGGGGUUACCUGACAAGCUGAGAAGUGCUGCAUGGCCGUCGUCAGUUCGUGCUGUGAAGUGUCGUGUUAAGUCACGAAACGAACGAGACCCUUGCCGUUAGUUGCUACUAUCCUCCCGGAGGGUAGGCACUCUAGCGGGACCGCUGUUGCUAAAACAGAGGAAGGAGAGGGCUACGGCAGGUCAGUAUGGCCUGAAUUUAUGGGGAUACACGCGGCCUACAAUGCGUAGGACAACGGGAUGCAACGCCGUAAGGCGAAGCCAAUCUCUUAAACCUACGCCUAGUUCGGAUCGUGGGCUGCAACUCGCCCACGUGAAGCCGGAAUCCCUAGUAAGCGAAGGUCAUCAUCUUUCGCUGAAUACGUCCCUGCUCCUUGCACACACCGCCCGUCAAACCAUCCGAGUGGACUUUUGGUGAAGCUCGCGCAGAGCGAUUUGAAUCACAAGUCUGCAAGGAGGGUU